UACGAAGGGGGCUAGCGUUGCUCGGAAUCACUGGGCGUAAAGGGUGCGUAGGCGGGUCUUUAAGUCAGGGGUGAAAUCCUGGAGCUCAACUCCAGAACUGCCUUUGAUACUGAGGAUCUUGAGUCCGGGAGAGGUGAGUGGAACUGCGAGUGUAGAGGUGAAAUUCGUAGAUAUUCGCAAGAACACCAGUGGCGAAGGCGGCUCACUGGCCCGGUACUGACGCUGAGGCACAAAAGCGUGGGGAGCAAACAGG
rnacentral:rRNA from 1 species